rnacentral:rRNA from 1 species
AGAGCUUGCUCUUUUAAAUUUAGUGGCGCACGGGUGAGUAAUAUAUAGCUAAUCUGCCCCUUGCUGGAGGACAACAGUUAGAAAUGACUGCUAAUACUCCAUACUCCUUUUUACCAUAAGAUAAAUCGGGAAAGAAUUUCGGCAAGGGAUGAGACUAUAUCGUAUCAGCUAGUCGGUGGGGUAACGGCCUACCGAGGCUAUGACGCGUAACUGGUCUGAGAGGAUGAUCAGUCACAUUGGAACUGAGACACGGUCCAAACUCCUACGGGAGGCAGCAGUAGGGAAUAUUGCGCAAUGGGGGAAACCCUGACGCAGCAACGCCGCGUGGAGGAUGACACUUUUCGGAGCGUAAACUCCUUUUGUUAGGGAAGAAUAAUGACGUACCUAACGAAUAAGCACC